rnacentral:rRNA from 1 species
AGUGAACGCUGGCGGUAGGCUUAACACAUGCAAGUCGAACGGCAGCACAGUAAUAGCUUGCUCUUACGGGUGGCGAGUGGCGGACGGGUGAGGAAUACAUCGGAAUCUACUUUUUCGUGGGGGAUAACGUAGGGAAACUUACGCUAAUACCGCAUACGAUCUACGGGUGAAAGCAGGGGAUCUUCGGACCUUGCGCGAUUGAAUGAGCCGAUGUCGGAUUAGCUAGUUGGCGGGGUAAAGGCCCACCAAGGGGACGAUCCGUAGCUGGUCUGAGAGGUGGAUCGGCGACACUGGAAGUGGGACACGGUCCAGACUCCUACGGGAGGCAGCAGUGGGGAAUAUUGGACAAUAGGCGCAAGGCUGAUCCAGCCAUAGCGCGUGGGUUGAGGAAGCCUUGGGGUUGUGAGGCCCUUUUGUUGGGAGAGAAAAGCAUCAGGUUAAGACGCCGAUGUACUGACGGUACCCGAAGAAUAAGCACCGGCUAACUUCGUG